rnacentral:lncRNA from 1 species
UUUUUUUUCUUUUCUUUUAAGUAUUUUACUUUAUUUUGUGAGGUCAGGCAACGGGCGGCGACCAAAAGAGGCAGGUUUUAAAAAGGCCGCUGAAGGAGGCUUUAUGGAGCCCACUCCGGGCGGACCGCGGUCAGACCGUCAGAGUUGACAGGACAAGGGUCUGAGCAGAAACCGUAGGGCCUCCACAGGGCUGGGAUUUUAUGGGGCCUUCGGCAGGAAGGGAGGGCUUGGGACAGGAAAAGGGAUUUUUAGGGUCCCUUGUCCCACUGGGAACUGGCUGAACUCCAGGAUUGGCCACGAGACCCUGCUGAUUGACGUGUCAGCCAGGAGAUCCGCUGAUUGACAGGUCAGCCAGGAGAUCCCGCUGAUUGACAGGUCAGCCAGGAGAUCCCGCUGAUCGAUAGGCGUUUCCGUGGGCGCCUGCUUGACGUUUCUUCCUUUGUUCCUGAGUCCCCGCUGCCCACCUGACAGAUUCUAUCCCCAUCUUGGUGGCCUCUCUGUCUUUGGUAAGUAGAGGUGGACAUACAGAUAGAUGCGACUGCGCAUC